GACGAACGCUGGCGGCGUGCCUAAUACAUGCAAGUUGAGCGCUGAAGGUUGGUACUUGUACCGACUGGAUGAGCAGCGAACGGGUGAGUAACGCGUGGGGAAUCUGCCUUUGAGCGGGGGACAACAUUUGGAAACGAAUGCUAAUACCGCAUAACAACUUUAAACACAAGUUUUAAGUUUGAAAGAUGCAAUUGCAUCACUCAAAGAUGAUCCCGCGUUGUAUUAGCUAGUUGGUGAGGUAAAGGCUCACCAAGGCGAUGAUACAUAGCCGACCUGAGAGGGUGAUCGGCCACAUUGGGACUGAGACACGGCCCAAACUCCUACGGGAGGCAGCAGUAGGGAAUCUUCGGCAAUGGACGAAAGUCUGACCGAGCAACGCCGCGUGGGUGAAGAAGGUUUUCGGAUCGUAAAACUCUGUUGGUAGAGAAGAACGUUGGUGAGAGUGGAAAGCUCAUCAAGUGACGGUAACUACCCAGAAAGGGACGGCUAACUACGUGCCAGCAGCCGCGGUAA
rnacentral:rRNA from 1 species